rnacentral:rRNA from 1 species
UCGGGAAUUUUGGGCAAUGGGCGAAAGCCUGACCCAGCAACGCCGCGUGAAGGAUGAAGUAUUUCGGUAUGUAAACUUCGAAAGAAUAGGAAGAAUAAAUGACGGUACUAUUUAUAAGGUCCGGCUAACUACGUGCCAGCAGCCGCGGUAAUACGUAGGGACCAAGCGUUGUUCGGAUUUACUGGGCGUAAAGGGCGCGUAGGCGGCAUGACAAGUCACUUGUGAAAUCUCCGGGCUUAACUCGGAACGGCCAAGUGAUACUGUCACGCUAGAGUGCGGAAGGGGCAAUCAGAAUUCUUGGUGUAGCGGUGAAAUGCGUAGAUAUCAAGAGGAAUACCUGAGGUGAAGACGGGUUGCUAGGCCGACACUGACGCUGAAGCGCGAAAGCCAGGGGAGCAAACGGGAUUAGAUACCCCCGUAGUCC